rnacentral:rRNA from 1 species
GACGAACGCUGGCGGCGUGCUUAACACAUGCAAGUCGAACGAUGAAGCUGGAGCUUGCUCCGGUGGAUUAGUGGCGAACGGGUGAGUAACACGUGAGCAAUCUGCCCUUGACUCUGGGAUAACUGCGGGAAACUGUAGCUAAUACCGGAUACUUUCACUGGAAGGCAUCUUCUGGUGAAGAAAGAAUUUCGGUCAAGGAUGAGCUCGCGGCCUAUCAGCUUGUUGGUGAGGUAACGGCUCACCAAGGCGACGACGGGUAGCCGGCCUGAGAGGGUGACCGGCCACACUGGGACUGAGACACGGCCCAGACUCCUGCGGGAGGCAGCAGUGGGGAAUAUUGCACAAUGGGCGCAAGCCCGAUGCAGCAACGCCGCGUGAGGGAUGAAGGCCUUCGGGUUGUAAACCUCUUUUAGCAGGGAAGAAGCGAAAGUGACGGUACCUGCAGAAAAAGCACCGGCUAACCACGUGCCAGCCGCCGCCGUAA